AUUGAACGCUGGCGGCAGGCCUAACACAUGCAAGUCGAACGAGUGGCGGACGGGUGAGUAAUGUCUGGGAAACUGCCUGAUGGAGGGGGAUAACUACCGGAAAUGGUAGCUAAUACCGCAUACCAUCAGAUGUGCCCAGAUGGGAUUAGCUUGUUGGUGGGGUAACGGCUCACCAAGGCGACGAUCCCUAGCUGGUCUGAGAGGAUGACCGGCCACAGUGGGACUUGGACACGGGCCAGACUCCUAGGGCAGGCAGCAGUUGGGAAUAUUGCACAAUGGGCGGAAGCCUGACGCAGCCAUGCCGCGUGUUUGAGGAGGGCCUUUGGUUUGUAAGGUACUUUCAGCGGGCAGGCGUUACCCGCAGAAGAAGCGCCGGCUAACUCCGUGCCAGCCGCCGCGGUAAUAC
rnacentral:rRNA from 1 species